rnacentral:misc_RNA from 1 species
GCCACACAUGUGCGGGGGCAGUGGUGAAGCCCUGUCGCCGCCCCCUAGCACAGUGGGCCCCUGAAGGAGUUUGCAAGCCUGCAUCUGCAUCAUUCCUUGUUGACACUCCUCCUCUCACCGGUGCGCAGCCAAGCCGAAAAACGACGAAGUCGGGACGGAGCAGCCCGUCAUGAAGGAUAGUCAAACUCCACCCUGACUCAGCAAGACGGGCGUGGUCGGCGGGACGGCGUUGCGCGAGAAGGUGCACUCGGUUUCCGGCGAAUGCCAAGAAAGCGAUCGACGAGGCGACGGUGAACAGGGCCGUAGGAGGCGGGCAGCGGCACGGGAGUGCGCGGCCUUGUCCAGCUUGGGACAGGCCGAUGGAUGCACCCUUUGGAAAGCCACCGCACGGCAGUGGGAACGGUCGCGGGCGCUACUCGUUGGCGAGCCGGAAAGGGAAGCGCGAAAGGGCGGCCCCGGAAAGAUGUCGCUUUCUCGCGCGACGCCCCACCCGCUCACACACACACACACACCAGUCGACAGGCUGAUUGCGGCCUGCACCACCUCGGGAUGGUGUGGAGUCCGAGAUGGCAACGUGUGGUUCCCGCCGCCCAGGAGCCCCGUCUACCACAAGUGGGCUUUAGCGCAACGUCUGCGCAGCGAGGGCGCGAGAGUGGUCCACCGUCUCAAAAGCCCCGGCGUCGGUGAAAUGGGGCCCUACUCGGCCCUCCCCCACUGUGCGCAGACGAGGCGGCCGGAUACGAUUUAUCGGGCCCACAGGCGUUUCGAACGACGGCGGCUGCUGCAAGGAGAUUCGAAGAGAGAGGCCGAGACGAACCCGCCAGCCCCGCGGCAUGUCGAUGAGAUGACGGCUUACAGGGAGCUCUCCCAAACCUACGCACGUGCAAAGCCCUUUUCGAAUCUGACGUGGCACGGCAGAGCGAGAGCGAGGCGACAUGUGGAGACUUCUGGCGAAUGAUGUGCAAGUACCAGAGCUGCCAGAGCACUCGCAGACGGCUGCAGUGAGCAUCACAACCCGUUAUGGAAAGGGUGCGAAGUUCCGCGGGCCGCAUGCGAUAGGGGUACGACUGUCGCAACGCGGCCUUGGCUGUGGCGUGCCUCCCUCAGCAUUUUUGGUCUUCCCUUCAGCGCUGGCAGCAGGAUAGGCAGCUUUAAGCGCAGCUAUGGAGAAAGAGGCACGGCUCGGAAUUCUAGACCGGUGCUGGGACACGUCCCGCUAAACACCCAUCCACCCAACCACCCCGCGCACCGCAAUUUUACGGCCCUCACAGCAAUCCGCUAUGCAGUGGACGACGGGCAGCGCAAAAAACGACCGCUCAGGUUGUUUCUUCUAGCCCUUCUUGCUCACCUCGACGCUGGGAGGACCAUUGCUGGCGUGCGACGCACGCACACACACAUAGAUGGACCCUAUCGAAACGCAGAGCUGAUGUGCCCCCAUAGAUGAGUUCAACGAUGAUGGAUGGAGAGGGGGGCGGGGUCUGGUCCUUGGCAACAAGUCUGCUUACCGGAUACAUGUAAUCCCGCGAGCACAGCGAAGGCGCGGCC